ACAGUGGUGGAAUCGAACGUCCCCGAGCGCACACGGCGUAGAGGAGAGUACGGCGCACGAGUCUCUGGAAGGAAGAUAACGGUUUAUUUUUUUGCCCCCUCUCGACUCAAACAACAAGAACAAACCAAACCUGAAUUUUCAGAGGGGGUUUACAUAGUCUUCUCAUCACAAGGAGGAGGGAAGCGAGGGAUUGGAUCCGCAAGUUUUUUUUUUCUUUUUCGUUUUUUUUCUUCUUCUCUUUUUCCUAAAAGAGGAUUCUGUGUUUUCGCGGUGGUUUGUUCUCCGUUCUCGCCGCAAAGAUGAUGGUCGGAGAGGUCGAAGUGAAGGAGCGACCGAGGCCGAGUCCCGACUAUUUGAUGCAAUUAUUAAACGAGAAGAAGCUCAUGACCAGUUUGCCAAAUCUCUGCGGCAUCUUCACGCACCUGGAGAGGCUUCUCGAUGAAGAGAUCAACAGAGUGCGUAAAGACAUGUACAGCGACACAGUGAAUGGCCUUGUGGAGAGACACCCUCUGGAGCUGCCUGAGCCUAUGGGACCCAUUGUCCACCUGCAGGAAAAACUGUUUGUGCCUGUCAAAGAGUACCCUGACUAUAACUUUGUGGGAAGAAUCCUUGGUCCUCGGGGACUCACAGCCAAACAGCUGGAAGCAGAGACGGGAUGCAAAAUCAUGGUGCGAGGAAAGAGCUCCAUGAGGGACAAGAAGAAGGAGGAGCAGAACAGAGGGAAGCCGAACUGGGAACACCUAAACGAAGACCUUCAUGUCCUGAUCACAGUGGAAGACUCGCAGGCCAGGGCUGAGAUGAAGAUGAGGAGAGCAGUGGAGGAGGUCAAGAAGCUCCUCGUACCUGCUGCGGAGGGAGAAGACAAUUUGAAGAAGAUGCAGCUGAUGGAGCUAGCUAUUCUCAAUGGGACAUACAGAGACAACAACAUCAAAACACGUGAGUGUUAUCACCUAUCAACCACCCUUGCAUUCUCUCUUGCAGCGGCGGCAGCAGCCGCUCAGGGCCCCCGUCUCAUAGCGGCCCCCACGGGUCAGGUGUUGCCUCCCCAGGCACUCCGGCCCCCAACACCAGCUGGGGCCCCCAUCAUGAACCUCAUCCGGCCCACUCAGAUGGCUGCCAUGCUGCCCAAUGGCACCCCCACCCUGGUGCCUCCCACACCGGAUGGCGGGCUUAUCUACACCUCCCCAUAUGACUACCCUUACGCCCUGGCACCCACCUCCCUGCUGGAGUACCCCAUCGAGCACAGUGGGGUUCUAGGUAAGAGAGCCUGGGGAUGCAUGGGUGCAGCAGGUACAGCGGCCAACUUUAGCCAGCCUGGACAUGAGGGCAGCUUGUUUUACCCCGGAGGGGUGCUGGACGCGGCUUCCAUGAGCCACAGUCAGGACUUGUUGAAAGGUGCAAUGGCUACUAAAGUGAGACGGCAUGACACGCGGGUCCAUCCUUACCAAAGGAUUGUGACCGCUGACAGAGCCGCCACCGGCAACUAACACAUGACCUUCUGACCUCUGAACUCUUCACCCAAUGACGAGCCGCCCCAAGCCUGCCUGCUGAUCAGUUAACUGUUUGGAAAGGUGUGAAUUUGUGGUGCCUGCCUUCAGUUGGAACAGCAAGCCAGUCAGUUAGAUGAUUUUUGACCCAUUAUAUUGUUUUUGAGGAGGCGAACGCAGGCAAUUAACACUAAAUCAACAUGCUACUCAAUUACAGUACAUCGCUAGAGGGAAGGGCACUUUGAAGUUGUGUACAUAAAUGCUUUUGUCAUGAUACCUGGCUUCAGUAUUCAGUUGUUUCAUCAGCCACAUUGCCAAAAGAGCUUUUAUUUUGUUUAUUUUUCAUUUUUGCAUCUCAACAUUUGGCAAUUAUUAAUCAUUUACAAUUAUUUUUAAGUGUGUGUUUUUUUUUUUUUGUUUUUUUUUUAACCCCAGUUAAAAUCACUUGGGACAUAGGUGGGCCCCUGUGCAAAUAAAAUAAAAAAAAACAUGUCUCAGUUAGAAUUAUUUUAGUGAUGAAACAUUAAUUUUUGACACAUGACACACCAUCCAAAAGCGCAUCCACAAUGUGUCACACCUCCCUGUGGUCAUAGUUUAACUCCUGAGCCCACAAUCUUUUGUUCGACUCUCUCAAGAAAAAAUAGGAUGUGAAAGCCAUGCCUGCCUGUUCAAAUUGCUUUAUACAUAAGUCUUUUAUUUAUAUAUAUAUAUAUAUAUAUAUAUAUAUAUAUAUAUAUAUAUAUAUAUAUAUAUAUAGAUAUGUCAUUGCAUAUACAAAUACAGAAGAGAACAAAAAAUAGAUAAUUUUACAGGGUGCUGGAGAAGAGGAAAAAAUAGAAAAUCUAUUUUUGGCAAUUUUAGCUUUUGAUACUUUACUUGCAGUUACAAAAUCAGAAAAAUUAACUUAAAAAAAAAUUUAAAACAGUAUAGGGGGGAAAACUGAGUGGGUGAGGAAAAAGUGCUGUUACCUUGGAUAUGAUUGCAAAGGAAGACGAAGACCAAAACAGUCGUAACCCUUAAAGUCAGCGAGGAUCAGAGCAAGACAGACAACUAGAGAGUUUUUUAAAAAAAUGAUCAAAGUGCCUUAUCAACAGUGGUUUCUGUUUUCUGAGUAUUCCAGUUGUGUUCAAUAAUAUCCAGCACCCACCAAGAUGGCGCAGAGAGGAAUGGCUAGUGUUACAUGCUCUGAAUAGUUGAGCAGGGUAUCUCCCACCAUAUCGGGGCGUUACCGAAGUUAUUCUAUGCAAAAAGAAUAGCAGUCGUUUUGACCAGCUAAAAUAUGUGCCAUGGUUUUGUCUUCCUGAAAUUCUUUUUUUCUCUUUUUCCUUGACUUGAUGGCCCUUUACUCUGCUGUAUGUUGCAGGUUUUGUUCUUUUUUUUUUUUUUUUUAGAUUUUAAUGAUCAUAUGAAAUAUUGUCUUGAUUUUUGGUGACUGUGACUAACUUCCUAGAACAAAUUGAACUGCCAAUAGCAAUGCAGUAGUCUGCCAGAACAUGUGUUGAUCAUGAGCUGAGAAAAAUACAUCACAUUCAAGGGAACAGAUAUGAAAGGGGAGGGCCCCCCCUACCCCCUUUGUUAUUAAGCCCGUUUGUUUCAACAGCUGCAAACUGAAAGCAAUCUAGUCCAUGUCUUGCAAUGUCAAUUUGCCAACAAACUAUCAAUACAAUCACGUGAUUUAUAAAUGAAAUGCUGGAUAAUGAAACAAGCAACUCCAUUUCACAGCCAAAUAGUUUUCAGUUAUUGAAACAACCAACAGUUUAUUGCUAGAAGGUGAAAUAAACUCGUAAUAUUAAAUUGAGGAACUCUUAUAUCCCAAUAUUACCCUUGGCAGUUUGUUUUUCUAUUCAUAGCUCUUUUCAUCAUGCUGUUACACCGAAAGGUCAAUGAAUUUUUCUUUUUUCAGUGUUAUUAUUUUAAAUUGAAAUGCAAUAUUAAAGUGGAGCAAGAGAUGGCUAUUCAGCAUUUGACAGUAUUAAGAAAAUUCCUUCUGCAAUGUUACAACAUGCUGUGUCAUUGUGAAAGGCUGGAUAAGUCAUCAGGUGAAAGGUUAACUCUAUACCUACCGUAUUCUCUCUGGCCUGCCUACUACAUGUAUGAUAAUGUAAUUAACAGCCAUUGUUACAGGUUUAUAAUGUAUUUUUCUAAUCUCAUUUUAUAUGUAUAUUAAUCAUGUUUCUGAGUGCUUUUUUUAUUUUAUGAAACCCACUGCAACUCCCCCCCCCCCCCCCCCCCCCCCCCCCCCCCCCCAAAAACAGCCCUGUUCCUCCCCCCUUCUCUUUUACAUCUUGAAAACUGUCUCUUGUGGGGAGUGUUGCCUUUUCCCUGUUAUAUUUUGUUUUCUUGCCAAUUCCCAGCUUGUUUAACUCAUUAGCUACUUUAUUAGUUUUCUUGUCAUACGUAUUUUUACAUGCUUGCAUUUAGUUUUCAUGGUGUAUGCUGUUAUUUUUCUUAUUAACCUCUUGGCAUUUAUUUUAAUAAAACAUUCUUAGUAAGAAUUUUA